UAACACAUGCAAGUCGAACGGGAUCCAACCAGUGGCAACACUGGGAACGAUCUAGUGGCGAACGGGUGAGUAACACGUGAGGAACCUGCCCCGAUCUCUGGGAUAACAGCGGGAAACCGCUGCUAAUACCGGAUGCCCUCCUCUGGUCGCAUGGCCGGAGAAGGAAAGGAUUCUGGAUUGGGAGGGUCUCGCGGCCUAUCAGCUUGUUGGUGGGGUAACGGCCCACCAAGGCUCCGACGGGUAGCUGGUCUGAGAGGACGACCAGCCACACUGGGACUGAGACACGGCCCAGACUCCUACGGGAGGCAGCAGUGGGGAAUCUUGCGCAAUGGGCGAAAGCCUGACGCAGCAACGCCGCGUGGGGGAUGAAGGCCCUCGGGUUGUAAACCCCUUUCAGCAGGAACGAAACUGACGGUACCUGCAGAAGAAGGUCCGGCCAACUACGUGCCAGCAGCCGCGGUAACACGUAGGGACCAAGCGUUGUCCGGAUUUAUUGGGCGUAAAGAGCUCGUAGGCGGUUCGGUAAGUCGGGUGUGAAAACUCUGGGCUCAACUCAGAGACGCCACCCGAUACUGCUGUGACUUGAGUCCGGUAGGGGAGUGGGGAAUUCCUGGUGUAGCGGUGAAAUGCGCAGAUAUCAGAGGAACACCAACGGCGAAGGCAGCUCGCUGGGACGGUACUGACGCUGAGGCGCGAAAGCGUGGGGAGCGAACAGGAUUAGAUACCCUGGUAGUCCACGCCGUAAACGAUGGGCACUAGGUGUGGGAGGUGUCGACUCCUCCCGUGCCGGCGCUAACGCAUUAAGUGCCCCGCCUGGGGAGUACGGCCGCAAGGCUAAAACUCAAAGGAAUUGACGGGGGCCCGCACAAGCAGCGGAGCAUGUGGUUUAAUUCGAUGCAACGCGAAGAAC
rnacentral:rRNA from 1 species